GCCUUUACAACAUCUUGCAAAGUAAAAUAAUGGCAAGAAAAGCGUUUAAAACCUAUAUAUAUCGGCCUUAUGGCGUGCUGUUUGCUUUGGCCAUUCGAGGGCGCUGCUUUGCUUUAGCAGUUUCAACUGAUGUUAGCUUAAUUGUUUCACUCGGUACUUGCGGAAGUUUUACUAAAGCGAAAACUGCCAGAGUGAACAGCCGUCGCAAGAGCAGCAUCAUCAUUCGCCAUCAUAUCACUGAUUAAUAGUUCUGACGGGAACGAGGGCGCCGCCGAACAGCAUCCGGAGGAAGAACAUAUCUCAGUUUCCUUUGAAGACCUUAACUUUAAAGGGGUCAAAAAGAAGAAAUGCGCCCAUACAAGCGGAGACCAAAAAAAGUAUAUAGAAGAUUCUCUCAGAUGGGUAACAACAACAUCAAGCCACAGCCCCCCAGUCAGGAAGAGGACUGGGAAAAGGAGUUAGAGGAGAUUUCACAACGCACUGAAAAGCAGAAACAGCCUCCUUUAGAUCCUGGAGAUGAUUUGAGUACUGGCGUAGGGGAGGGAUUUCAUUGUAACAUCCAGAAUGGCCCAAGCUCAAGCCAGGAACACUACAGCCCAGCAAUUCACCACAUUAAACCUGUGAAAUGGGUCCGCUUUAUUUAUGCUGUAGUGGAUGACCAGUUUGCUGAUGCUGAAGAUUAAGAAGGCUGUUGUUUAUUAGUUAUAUGUGUUUUCUUUCAGAAAAAAAAAAUAUAAAAUUUGUUUAUAAUCUACUGAGCUCAGGCUAAUGUUUUAAACACUUUUGUUGUUUUUAGUGACCUCUCAGUAUUUGAUGUUAAUUUAUAGUUAUGUUGAUCAAAUCAUUGCUUAGCAUUCAUAUUUGCAAGUUUAUCUCAUUCAUUUUUGCCAGUUGAAGCCAAUUUGUUUUAAUCUGUAAGCACAAUUUGAUUACUGUUUAUCUAUUAAAUAGUGCAUUACAAUGUUAAUCUGAAUAAAAGCAAAGUGACAGGAA